GACGAACGCUGGCGGCGUGCUUAACACAUGCAAGUCGAGCGGAAAGGCCCUUCGGGGUACUCGAGCGGCGAACGGGUGAGUAACACGUGAGUAACCUGCCCCAGACUUUGGGAUAACCCUCGGAAACGGGGGCUAAUACCGGAUACGACACAGCUUCGCAUGGGGUCCGUGUGGAAAGUUUUUCGGUUUGGGAUGGGCUCGCGGCCUAUCAGCUUGUUGGUGGGGUGAUGGCCUACCAAGGCGACGACGGGUAGCCGGCCUGAGAGGGCGACCGGCCACACUGGGACUGAGACACGGCCCAGACUCCUACGGGAGGCAGCAGUGGGGAAUAUUGCACAAUGGGCGGAAGCCUGAUGCAGCGACGCCGCGUGAGGGAUGACGGCCUUCGGGUUGUAAACCUCUUUCAGCAGGGACGAAGCGUAAGUGACGGUACCUGCAGAAGAAGCGCCGGCCAACUACGUG
rnacentral:rRNA from 1 species